UACGUUGGGGGCAAGCGUUAUCCGGAAUUACUGGGUGUAAAGGGUGAGUAGGCGGCAUGGUAAGCCAGAUGUGAAAGCCUUGGGCUUAACCCGAGGAUUGCAUUUGGAACUAUCAAGCUAGAGUACAGGAGAGGAAAGCGGAAUUCCUAGUGUAGCGGUGAAAUGCGUAGAUAUUAGGAAGAACUCCGAUUGCGAAGGCAGCUCACUGGACUGCAACUGACACUGAGGCUCGAAAGUGUGGGUAUCAAACAGG
rnacentral:rRNA from 1 species